rnacentral:rRNA from 1 species
AGAGUUUGAUCCUGGCUCAGGAUAAACGCUGGCGGCGUGCCUAACACAUGCAAGUCGAACGUGGCAUGAGCAAUCGUGCCGAGUGGCGGACGGGUGAGGAACACGUGGGUCAUCUACCUUGAGGUGAGGAAUACCGGUGAGAAAUCGCCGACAAUACCGCAUGGCCUCGGGCGACCGAGGAAAGCCCCAUAGGGGUGCCA